rnacentral:tRNA from 1 species
CGGGCUGUAGCGCAGUCUGGCUAGCGCGCUUGCUUGGGGUGCAAGAGGUCGUGGGUUCAAAUCCCGCCAGCCCGA